CUAAAGGUUUCUUCGGAAACCUUGGCGGACUGCUCAGUAACACGUGGAUAACCUACCCUUGGGACUGGAAUAACCCCGGGAAACUGGGGAUAAUACCGGAUAAGCCAUAGACGCUGGAAUGCCCUAUGGUUCAAAGCUCCGGCGCCUAAGGAUGGAUCUGCGGUCUAUCAGGUUGGAGUGGGUGUAACGUACCUACUAGCCGACGACGGAUACGGGUUGUGAGAGCAAGAGCCCGGAGAUGGAUUCUGAGACACGAAUCCAGGCCCUACGGGGUGCAGUACGCGCGAACACUUUACAAUGCGGGAAACCGCGAUAAGGGAACCCCGAGUGCCAGCAUCAAAUGUUGGCUGUCCACAUGAUUAAAAAUCAUUUGUUAGCAAGGGCCGGGCAAGACCGGUGCCGGCCGCCGCGGUAACACCGGCGGCCCGAGUGGUAGCCGUUUUUAUUGGGUCUAAAGGGUCCGUAGCCGGCCUGAUAAGUCCUUUGGGAAAUCUGGCAGCUUAACUGUCAGGCUUCUAAGGGAUACUGGCAGGCUUGGGACCGGAAGAGGUAAGGGGUACUCCAGGGGUAGGAGUGAAAUCUUGUAAUCCCUGGGGGACC
rnacentral:rRNA from 1 species